GCUCAGCUAGUAGCUCAGUUGGUAGAGCAUGAGAGUUUUAAGCUCAGGGUCGUGAGUCUGAGCCACAAGUUGGGCA